UACGUAGGGUGCAGGCGUUUAAUCGGAAUUACUGGGCGUAAAGAGCGCGCAGGCGGUCGUUCAAGUCGCGUGUGAAAGCCCCCCGGCUCAACUGGGGAGGGUCACGCGAUACUGAUCGACUCGAAGGCAGGAGAGGGAAGUGGAAUUCCCGGUGUAGUGGUGAAAUGCGUAGAUAUCUGGAGGAACACCGGUGGCGAAGGCGGCAUUCUGGACCGAAAACUGACGCUGAUGCGCGAAAGCCAGGGGAGCAAACGGG
rnacentral:rRNA from 1 species